rnacentral:rRNA from 1 species
ACGCUGGCGGCAUGGCUAAGACAUGCAAGUCGUACGGAGUGGAAUGAGCUUGCUCGAUCCACUCAGUGGCGGACGGGAGAGUAAUGCAUGGGUAACGUACCCUGGACACGGGAAUAACCACGGGGCUUCGGCCUCUUUAGCGAAAGUGUGGCUAAUACCCGAUGAUGUCGCCUGAUCGCAUGGUCAGGCGCCCAAAGGUGGGGACCUUCGGGCCUGCCAGUCUGGGAUCGGCCCAUGUCUUAUCAGCUUGUCAGUAGGGUAAUGGCCUACCAAGGCUACGACGGGUAGCGGGCGUGAGAGCGUGACCCGCCUCAUCGGGACUGAGACACUGCCCGGACACCUACGGGUGGCUGCAGUAACGAAUAUUGGGCAAUGGGCGCAAGCCUGACCCAGCAAUGCCGCGUGCAGGAGGAAGCCUUUCGGGGUGUAAACUGCUGUCAGGGUUUAGCAAGCAAUGUAGGUUAAUAGCCUGCGGCGCUGAGCAGACCCAAAGGAAGCCUCGGCUAACUCUGUGCCAGCAGCCGCGGUAAGACAGAGGAGGCAAGCGUUGUUCGGAAUCACUGGGCUUAAAGCGGGUGUAGGCGGCUUGGUAAGUGUCCUGUGAAAGCCCACGGCUCAACCGUGGAAUUGCAGGGCAUACUGCCUGGCUUGAGGUUGGUAGAGGUGCCUGGAACUCUAGGUGGAGCGGUGAAAUGCGUAGAUAUCUAGAGGAACGCCAGAAGCGAAAGCGGGGCACUGGGCCAAUCCUGACGCUGAGACCCGAAAGCGUGGGGAGCAAACAGGAUUAGAUACCCUGGUAGUCCACGCCGUAAACGAUGCACACUAGGUGUCGGAGGCUCUGAUGCCCUCGGCGCCGAAGGAAAACUAAUAAGUGUGCCGCCUGGGGAGUACGGCCGCAAGGCUAAAACUCAAAGGAAUUGACGGGGGCUCACACAAGCGGUGGAGCAUGUGGCUUAAUUCGAAUUCAACGCGAAGAACCUUACCCAGGUUUGACAUGCUUGGAUGCUCUCCGGGGAUAACCCGGGGUAGCUGCCCUUCGGGGUGAAACUUGCACAGGUGUUGCACGGCUGUCGUCAGCUCGUGCUGUGAAGUGUCGGGUUAAGUCCCUUAACGAGCGAAACCCCUAUCGUUAGUUGCCAGCGGGUCAUGCCGGGGACUCUAGCGAGACUGCCGGCGUUAAGCCGGAGGAAGGUGGGGACGACGUCAAGUCAUCGUGGCCUUUAUGCCUGGGGAUGCACACGUGCUACAAUGGCCGCUACAGAGGGAAGCGAUACCGCGAGGUGGAGCAAAUCCCAAAAAAAGCGGCCUCAGUUCGGAUUGGAGUCUGUAAUUCGACUCCAUGAAGUCGGAAUCGCUAGUAAUCGCGUAUCAGCUACGACGCGGUGAAUGUGUUCCUGAGCCUUGUACACACCGCCCGUCAAGUCAUGGAAGCUGGUAGCACCCGAAGUCCGCUUAGCUAACCAAUACUCUUGGAAGCGGCGGCCGACGGUGAGACUGGUGACUGGGACUAAGUCGUAACAAGGUA